GGCUGUGGUUCAGUGGCAGAGUGCUUGCCUAGCAUGUACAAAGGACUGGGUUCGAUUCUCAGCACCA
rnacentral:tRNA from 1 species